UAUUAUCUAAAAAAGCAGCAUCCAAGGC
rnacentral:sRNA from 1 species